GAUAGGACAGAGCAAUGACCCCUUCUCAGGUCCUGCCUCCCUGUGUUCCCAACCCAUGAGGACUAUAACACUGGAGCUGUAAAGGGCUCCCUGCAUUGCCAUGGGCCCCAUAGCAUUGGCUCCCUGCAGGCACUGUGUGUGGAGUAGGAUGAGCUACUAAUUCUUAUCCAUUAAUUUUUUUCUCUUCAAUUUUUCAGACAGGUGAAACUGAUAUUUACCCACACCUAGCAAUUUAACGCGAAUCCUGCCAAAUCUUACCAUGAUGAUAAUCUGAGGUUAUCUGGAGUAAUAAGCACCUCCUGAUCUGAACAAAUGUUGAAGUAAAAGGCUCAGGAAUUUCUUAGCCCAGCUGUACUUAUUACCUGACUGUGACACCCUAUGAAAUAUGGGAGACACUUUCUGAUAUUAACACCAGUAUCUUAAAAUUGCAAGGAAUCAGACCAGUAUGUCAUUUUAAGACAUCAAGUAGUGUGGUGUUUGGAUAAAAUUCCAACUAAUAUCAACCGCGUAACGUGGCUGACAUUUGGGAGUCUGGAGAACAUUUUGUACGUUAUAUUGACAGAGUAGAAACUAAGGGGCUACGUCUACACUGGCCACAAUUUCCGGAAAAGCCAUGCAAAUCAG